rnacentral:rRNA from 1 species
UACGUAGGAGGCGAGCGUUGUCCGGAUUUACUGGGCGUAAAGCGCGCGCAGGCGGCACUGUAAGUAAGGUGUGAAAUCUCCCUGCUCAACGGGGAGGGUGCAUUUUAGACUGCAGAGCUAGAGGACGGUAGAGGGGGGUGGAAUUGCUGGUGUAGCGGUGAAAUGCGUAGAGAUCAGCAGGAACACCCGUGGCGAAGGCGGCCCCCUGGGCCGAACCUGGACCGCUGAGGCGCGAAGGCUAGGGGAGCGAACGGG